GAUGAACGCUGGCGGCGUGCCUAAUACAUGCAAGUCGAGCGAACCACUUCGGUGGUGAGCGGCGAACGGGUGAGUAACACGUAGGUUAUCUGCCCAUCAGACGGGGACAACGAUUGGAAACGAUCGCUAAUACCGGAUAGGACGAAAGUUUAAAGGUGCUUCGGCACCACUGAUGGAUGAGCCUGCGGCGCAUUAGCUAGUUGGUAGGGUAAAGGCCUACCAAGGCGACGAUGCGUAGCCGACCUGAGAGGGUGAACGGCCACACUGGGACUGAGACACGGCCCAGACUCCUACGGGAGGCAGCAGUAGGGAAUCUUCGGCAAUGGGCGAAAGCCUGACUGAGCAACGCCGCGUGAAUGAUGAAGGCCUUCGGGUUGUAAAUUCUGUUAUAAGGGAAGAAUGGCUCUAGUAGGAAAUGGCUAGAGUGUGACGGUACCUUAUGAGAAAGCCACGGCUAACUACGUG
rnacentral:rRNA from 1 species